UACAGAGGUGGCAAGCGUUGUUCGGAAUUACUGGGCGUAAAGGGCGCGUAGGCGGUCCGAUAAGUCCUGUGUGAAAUCCCUCGGCUCAACUGAGGAACUGCACGGGAGACUGUCGGGCUUGAGUUCGGGAGAGGGGAAGCGGAAUUCCGGGUGUAGCGGUGAAAUGCGUAGAUAUCCGGAGGAACACCGGUGGCGAAGGCGGCUUCCUGGACCGACACUGACGCUGAGGCGCGAAAGCUAGGGGAGCAAACAGG
rnacentral:rRNA from 1 species